UGAAACAAAUACAAAAUACAUAAAAUACUGUAAUUUUAUGGUUUACCUAAGACCUGCCUGACUCAACCUUUUCAUAAGAUUUACAGAAUGCCUGGAACAUCCACAUCAGAGUUUUUGUUUUGUCUUAAAGAUGAAAGUAUCCAUUCUAUUUUUUAAAAUUUCUCUUCUUCCCAGUCUUUCCAAUAAUCCAGAAUAGCAGCAUUGCCCUUUUGUAUCCCGGAUGCAAUGGAGCUCAACAUAAAGCAACUGAAUCAGAAAAUGAAACGUCCAGUUUACUUGUAAUCUAGCUUAAAGUAUUUGCCCUCCAACUCACUUUUUUUGUUUUUAAACAAAUGGAAAUCUAUAAAAAACUGACUGUUCUGACUUCAAAGUCACUAAAGAUCAAGAUAAGAAGACUGCUCACCAGCGUGGGAACUGCUCUAAAGCUGCUCCGUAACGCCAGAUGCAUCCAGAGUGGAGAACUCCGAAAGAGCCUCCGGUGAUCUGACACUGGCACUGCCCAUCAGCAGAGAAAGGAUGGCCUCCUGUGCCUGAAUGUGACAGCCAGGUCACUAUGUAAGCCAGGCAACUAUGUAGUAUCAGAGAAUCUUUAUGACAUUACAGUAGGAAAUAAUUAUUUAAACAUGAUAAAAAAUAUGGUGACUCUAUUAAAUAUCUUGACUAUAUUAAAACAAAGAGUUUCUACUAAUUAAAGACAUAUCUAAGAGAAUGAAAAAUGACCUCUGCAUCAAGGUAUCGAGACAGAACAAAAGCAUCUAGCUUCGCUCUCUCCCUACAUUCCACUGAAAAUAAAACAAAGAGAUUAUUUUUAAUAAAAUACGUAAGUAUGAGAAAAAGCCAAGAGACAAAGCUACAACAUUUUGAAAGUUGGAAAACAGAUGGAUAAAUAAGAACUAAAAGUUUGUCAGUGAGAUAACUGAAAAGGCUGGCUCACAGGCCAGUGGUAGGAAACACGAAGAGCGGAGUUAAAAGCAGGAGCAGAUUGAUCUAAGAUGGCGACUGUCAAACCAGAAACCACCCCUACUCCUAAUCCCCCCAUGGAAGAGGAGAAAACAGAAUCUAAUCAGGAGGUUGCUAACCCAGAACACUACAUUAAACGUCCUCUACAGAAAAGAUGGGCACUCUGGUUUUUUUAAAAAUGAUAAAAGCAAAACUUGGCAAGCAAACCUGCCGCUGAUCUCUAAGUUUGAUCUUGUUGAAGACUUUCGGGCUCUAUACAACCAUAUCUAGUUGUCUAGUAAUUUAAUGCCUGUCUGUGACUACUCACUUUUUAAGGAUGGUAUUGAGCCUAUGUGGGAAGAUAAGAAAAACAAACGGGGAGGAUGAUGGCUAAUUUACAUUGAACAAACAGCAGAGACAAAGGGACCUCGAUCACUUUUGGCUAGAGACUCUACUGGGCCUUAUUGGAGAAUCUUUUAAUGACUAGAGUGAUGAUGUAUGUAAAGCUGUGGUUAAUGUUAGAGCCAAAGGUGAUAAGAUAGCAGUAUGGACUACUGAAUGUGAAAACAGAGAAGCUGUUACACAUUUGGGAGGGUAUAUACAAGGAAAGGUUAGGACUUCCUCCAAACAUAGUGACUGGUUAUCAGUCCCACGCAGACACAGCUACUAAAACAGUUCCACCACUAAAAAUAGGUUUGUUGUUUAAGAAGACACCUUCUGAGUAUUCUCAUAAGAGACCAAGUCAAGCAAUCGAGAUUUUGGAGCUGAAUCAAA